GUACGCACUGAUUUCGCUGAUUCCUCCUUUCUCCAGAACCGUAAUGUCAUUCAUUUGGUGUUGCAGAAAAACAGGACUGUUACUUUGAAAAAAUUAGAGUGUUUAAAGCAGGCUAACGCUUGAAUACAUUAGCGUGGAAUAAUGAAAUAGGACGUUUGAUCCUAUUUUGUUGGUUUCUAGGAUUGACGUAAUGAUUAAUAGGGAUAGUUGGGGGCAUUAGUAUUCAAUUGUCAGAGGUGAAAUUCUUGGAUUUAUUGAAGACUAACUACUGCGAAAGCAUUUGCCAAGGAUGUUUUCAUUAAUCAAGAACGAAAGUUAGGGGAUCGAAGACGAUCAGAUACCGUCGUAGUCUUAACCAUAAACUAUGCCGACUAGGGAUCGGGUGAUGUUAAUUUUUUAAUGACUCA
rnacentral:rRNA from 1 species